rfam:Gossypium hirsutum cultivar TM-1 chromosome 17, whole genome shotgun sequence
UGUUAAAAAUUUCACUCAUUUCUACUAUUAAAAACUAGUAUGACUGACAGAAUAAUCAGAGAAGUAAUGCUGACAUACAAAUACCAAUUUUUAAUAGUAAAAAUGAAUGAAAUUUUUAAUA